rnacentral:rRNA from 1 species
UACGUAGGUGGCGAGCGUUGUCCGGAAUUACUGGGCGUAAAGGGCGCGUAGGCGGCCUGAUAAGUCAGAUGUGAAACCCCCAGGCUCAACUUGGGGCAUGCAUUUGAAACUGUUGGGCUCGAGUGUCGGAGAGGAAAGCGGAAUUCCUAGUGUAGCGGUGAAAUGCGUAGAUAUUAGGAGGAACACCAGUGGCGAAGGCGGCUUUCUGGACGAUAACUGACGCUGAGGCGCGAAAGCGUGGGGAGCAAACAGGAUUAGAUACC